GUCUGAGGCCACACCGCCCUGAAGGUGCCCGAUCUCGUCUGAUCUGGGAAGCUAAAGCAGGGUCGGGCCAGUCAGGACCUGGAUGGGAGAAAAGUUGUAAGAAUCCCUUAAGGCUGGCAGGACCUGACU
rnacentral:rRNA from 1 species